rnacentral:rRNA from 1 species
AGAGUUUGAUCCUGGCUCAGAAUGAACGCUGGCGGCGUGCCUAACACAUGCAAGUCGAACGAGACCAAGAGCUUCGGCUCGAGGUAGAGUGGCGAACGGGUGAGUAAUACAUAGGAAUCAACCCCUCAGUGAAGGAUAUUCUCGGGAAACUGAGAGCAAUCCUGCAUACGUCCCUUAACGGGGAGAAAGGUGGCCUCUUG